GUGGGUGAGGGAAAUAAAGGGGAGUCCAGCGAUCAGGACACUACAGUAGCACUCAAUGUUGGCGUAACCCAGGAAAGCGGGAUUUCAAUGGAACGACCACCUUGUGCAAAGACAAAGGGACGUAGCAAGACAUUAGCCGAAAUGAAUGAAGUCACUCUUGGAGCACAAGGAGAAAAGAAGGGAACCAGAAGAUGCAGCGUGUGUAAAUUGAAGUCAACCCAUAACUCAGCGACAUGCCCAACGUUGCAAAAGAAUAAAGACCGCCUUGAAGCGAUGAAGAAUAAAAGGAGGGGCAGACCUGCGGGAGCAAAGAACAAGCAGAACAUGUAUGAUCAUGGAAACAAUAGGAAGGAACUGGAGGAAAGGCCGCUGCAAAGGAGGAGGCUUUUGGAAGACAACUCUUACAUAGGAAUCCCUAGUAAUUCCGAGGAUGAUGAUGAAUAUGUAGAUGAUGACCGGCAGGAGGAACAAGCCAUCAGUGGCGGGAGUGAGUAAUAGAAGUGAUGCAGGAUUUAGUGUUGCAUCACUAUAAAAGCUAAAUAUUGUAUUGAAUGCAGUCUUAAAACUCCUAAUCAGUAGUGUACUCCUGUAUGCUUGGAAAGUAUUAGUUGAAUGUUAGAACUAAAGUCUUCAAUCAGUGUCAGCCUUCCCUAGGAUUCCAUGUACAUUGAAGUGCUAAUAUUUUAGGACAAUAUUUGUGCAUUUGCAAUCAGCAUUAGUUUGGUUCAACAAAGAGGAUAAUUUUAUAUUU